UAGUGUAAGUGUCAGAUGGGUACGAAUGUCAUCUUGUGACAGCAUCACCUUUGUUUGGCUAAAGUACAAGAGAACUGCAGCAUCUAAGACUACAUGUACAUCGACUUUGAAUAAUCUACCCGGUAUAUCCUCAAAAAGGCAACUCAAAUACAGAAAGUGCAUAUAAUUUGGAAAAGAGACCAUCAAUCCACUGGGGGGUAUUGCAUGAAAGCAAUGAUUAUAGAAUAUUGUAAGGCUGGAGGAGUUAUAGUACAACA